UUUUUUUUUGAGUUUUUUCAUUGAAUACAUGUUUUUGAUUUGUUUUCUCGAUUAGAAAAUCAUUUGGUCAGACGAGACCACAUUUGCGUUACUUCAACGGGUUAUUGUGGAGAAAUAAACGGAAGAAUCCAAAGACCCCAAAAUCAGAUUUCUAAGUGAUGUUCAAAAAGAAAAUAUUCUUAAGAAUAUUAACGUUUGGGAAAAAUUUGAGUUGGAGAUGUGUUAAAAAUCGUUUGGAUAUCUUGAAGAAUCUUUAUCAUAUGUAAAGAGGCAAUCCGGAAAAUCCGCGAGUUCAACGUUAUUUACAGUUUAUCACACUACUUGAUGCAAUUUUUGGUGAUGUACCAAAUGCAUAAAGUAUUAAGCUUUUUCUUAUAAAAUUUAUUUAUUUUUGAAUUUUCAGUUUUAUUUAUGGUUUUAAUUAUUAAGCAUGUUUAAUUUUUCAAAUAUUAUCAAUUUAUAUAUUGUAUUUUUCUUUUAAUAGUAAUAUAUUAUAUUUAUCAUAAUAAUAUAUUGUAUUUUUCUUUUAAUAGUAAUAUAUUAUAUUUA
rnacentral:sRNA from 1 species